UACGAAGGGGGCUAGCGUUGCUCGGAAUCACUGGGCGUAAAGGGUGCGUAGGCGGGUCUUUAAGUCAGGGGUGAAAUCCUGGAGCUCAACUCCAGAACUGCCUUUGAUACUGAAGAUCUUGAGUCCGGGAGAGGUGAGUGGAACUGCGAGUGUAGAGGUGAAAUUCGUAGAUAUUGGGAAGAACACCGGUGGCGAAGGCGGUGACCUGGUCCGAUACUGACGCUGAGGCGCGAAAGCGUGGGGAGCGAACAGG
rnacentral:rRNA from 1 species